CCUACGGGAGGCUGCAGUGAGGAAUAUUGGUCAAUGGGCGGAAGCCUGAACCAGCCAAGUAGCGUGCAGGAUGACGGCCCUACGGGUUGUAAACUGCUUUUAUACGGGAAUAACGCGCCUUACGUGUACGGCUUUGCAUGUACCGUAUGAAUAAGGACCGGCUAAUUCCGUGCCAGCAGCCGCGGUAAUACGGAAGGUCCGGGCGUUAUCCGGAUUUAUUGGGUUUAAAGGGAGCGUAGGCCGCCUGUCAAGCCUGCUGUGAAAGUCCCGGGCUCAACCCGGGCCUUGCAGCGCGAACUGGCGUGCUUGAGUCCGCGGAAAGCAGGCGGAAUUCGUCGUGUAGCGGUGAAAUGCUUAGAUAUGGCGAAGAACCCCGAUUGCGAAGGCAGCUUGCUGCAGCGGAACUGACGCUGAUGCUCGAAAGCGCGGGUAUCGAACAGGAUUAGAUACCCUUGUAGUC
rnacentral:rRNA from 1 species